rnacentral:tRNA from 1 species
CGCGGGGUGGAGCAGCUGGUAGCUCGUCGGGCUCAUAACNNUCGCAGGUUCGAAUCCUGUCCCCGCCACUA